rnacentral:lncRNA from 1 species
GAAAAAGCAAUGCUGUGGGAUUCUCAGACCAUAAAAGCUGAGAGAGGGGGGUAAAGACUCGGUACCUCUGAGCAGAGAGGCUCACGUUCUCCAGAUGGGAGCUGCUGGCCAGCGUGGUUGUGCAGAAAGAGCUGGCCCUUGGGCCCUGAAAUAUGAAGGCAGAGCAUGGCCACAAGAGGACUGGAGAGGUCUCCAGCUAUUUUGGCAAUAGAUGUCAUUUUAGCAUGGGCAUGCUGGGCUGUCUGCUUGGUGUUCAGUGACACUGACCUCUGUAGGAGCCCUUCCAGGAACAUCCUGGAGAGGUGGGCCCACAUUUCUACUGCUCAUUUUCUUGUGGAUGAGUGACAGGCAAAGGGGCUUUGGAGCAUAGAGAAUAAACCGUAGUCAUGCCCUACCGACUCUUAGUCUCCGUGGAAUGUUUGUGGACAGCUAACUACAGGAUAUCCGAGGAAAGAAAUUCUGAUGGAUGG